UACGUAGGUGGCAAGCGUUAUCCGGAAUUAUUGGGCGUAAAGCGCGCGCAGGUGGUUUCUUAAGUCUGAUGUGAAAGCCCACGGCUCAACCGUGGAGGGUCAUUGGAAACUGGGAGACUUGAGUGCAGAAGAGGAAAGUGGAAUUCCAUGUGUAGCGGUGAAAUGCGUAGAGAUAUGGAGGAACACCAGUGGCGAAGGCGACUUUCUGGUCUGUAACUGACACUGAGGCGCGAAAGCGUGGGGAGCAAACAGGAUUAGAUACCCGCGUAGUCC
rnacentral:rRNA from 1 species